UUUCUGUAUUGUACAAGAAGUAAGGAGUUGGCCCACCGUCCCCUAACCUCGCGGAGCCUUUAUUCCCUUGCCGGCUCCCGUUCGAUUCCCCUCUAUUAUUAGUCAAUUUUCUCUCUCAACUUCAUCUUCUUCCUCUGCUUCUUCCCCCAAUUCAUUGCUCCGGCCCAUCCCCGGCGGAUUCAUCGACCGCGUUGUCGUGGUUCUGGGAGCAGUGCAAGGAGGCAGUCUGACAAUGGAUCUAGACGACGACGAUUUUGAGAUGCCAUCUAGAACAUCCCCUCAUUUUCGAUUCAGGAACACACCAAAGAAGAAACAUGAGGAGGACUUGGUUAAUCACACUGGAACAGAGAAGAGGCCACUGAAGAGAAGGAAAACAGGAGCACAUAAUGCUAACAGACUGGUGAUCUAUUCAGAAAUAAGAAAAUUGGGCGUAAGACAUUAUUAAAACUCCUAACAACACAACUCUAGUUCGAACUUCAGUAGUACCGUAUAGAGCAACGAAGUACAGAAUAUCGGAUUCAAAUGUUCCCCUCAUCUUUUGUUCGAUCUCCUGAAGACCCUAGACAUAGAUCAGAGAAAAUGUUUUGAUGAACUCGGAUUCGGUAUUCUAUUAUCCAUGCCAAAUUGUAGGCUUCCUAAAGAUCUGACAGUGUGGUUAGUGAACCAUUUCAGUUGGAAGAAGCAAGCUCUGACUGUACGUGGCCGCACAGUCCCAAUUAAACUUCUUAUGAAGAAGUUGUUAGGUAUACCUGAUGGCCCUUUUCCUGUACCUUUGCCCCGUAGCAAGCGUGGCAAAUCAAAGUGCAUUUACCCCACCGAAGAGGACAAAGAGAUGAAGGAUGAGAAAGGUGCAAGGGGUUUGAGUUAUAAGGCUACAUACGAGUCACUAAUAUCUACUCAUGACCCAGUACAAUUUAAAAGAUCCUUUAUGUUGUACGUGCUCUGUAUUUACUUUGCUCCAUCUAGUGGCCACUUUAUUAACCUUGGCUACUCUCCCGUAAUGAGCAACGUUGACCUCAUCAAGGAUAUGAACUGGCGCGACCAUGUAGCUAAUGUUCUCAUCGAAGGAAUUCGGGAAUAUCGAGACUCGAAGGCAGUUAAUGUCAAUAUCCACGGAUGUGUACAUGUUCUGCUGCUCAUUUAUAUUGAUAUGGUUAAGUCUCCAAUAUUGGAAGUUCCCGGAGGAUGCCCCCGUGUACUAUAUGUAACUACUGAUUUGCUAGACUUGUUAGAUUUGUCUGAUUUGAAGUCCAGCUCAUGUGAUGGUCCAGAGUAUGGCAAGCUAUAGCUUGCUGAUUCGCCAUAUGGAGAAGAGUUUGUAUCAUCCGCCACAGCAAAUAGACGUCCCACCAGGUCCAUACCUAGCUGCAGUAGUACUGCCCAUACUACUGUGGAUGUUCUAAAGGUCUUAUUUGAUGGAAUGCAGCAAACUGAAGCGCAAUAUUCAACAUCAAGAGACAAGAUCCAUGCAGAAAUGUACGAGACAAGAUCCCUGAAUGCAAUAUAGCCGUUUGCCCACACGCUAUGUAUUAUUAUUUUUAUGCAAUGGAAUGAUGAAAAUAUGACUCUUUGGAAGCUGGUCAGUACUAUAAAAUUCGAGGUAGACCUCCCGCUUGGAUCAGGAACACUGAAAUAUUUCACAUUCUAUAUCAACUUCUACUAUCAACUUCUUCAAAUCCCAGAAGGAUGUCUUCUUUUUCUUACUCCUUUAGAAGCGCUCGUGAUGCAGCCCCGCCCCUUCCUCUGUUCUGUGCCCAUGUUGCGGUUUAGAAAGAACAACCACUUUCGUGUCUGGCACUGUAUCCAACCCGGGCAUAAGAUUCUACAAGUGCCCCUAACCAGGGAGAAAAUGGCACUUGCGAUUUUUUCCUCUCGGAACAGCACUAUGCAUUCUUCAUUACCGGAGUUGGGAUCAAUUUGUUGAUAGAAGCUGCUGGUGGUGGAAGCAAUUUCAUGUUUGGAAUGGCAGGUUUCAUGAGAGAUAUUAAGGCGGUGGUGAUGAACACGUUCAUGCUGUGCAUAAUCAUAUUAUCAAUUGUCGCAUUCCACUUUUCACACAACUUCAUUUGAUGUUGCAAAUGACCCAGCAGAUCAUUUACCAACUAAUAUGUAGUGGGCACACUAUAUUUAUAGGUAUAUCUGCUACUGUAUUGCGCUACUAUAGUCAUCAAGCCUUGUAGGCUAGGUCUAGUUAUUUAUAUGCGAUGGUAAUCACAUUUUUAUUACAUGUACUGUUUGUUCUGGAAUAUGUGCUGCAUGAUUUGGAGUUCGCAAGUUGUAUCGAGCAGCCAUGCCUAUACAGACGACUGAACAGUACACUAUGUGUACCGUCUGUACUUUCAACUGUGCAAGGUUGGCUAGCUGAUGUUCAUGCAUGUCAGCACGAUGCACAA